GAUGAACGCUGGCGGCGUGCCUAACACAUGCAAGUCGAACGAAGCACCUUACCUGAUUCUUCGGAUGAAAGUUUGGUGACUGAGUGGCGGACGGGUGAGUAACGCGUGGGUAACCUGCCCUGUACAGGGGGAUAACAGCUGGAAACGGCUGCUAAUACCGCAUAAGCGCACGAGGAGACAUCUCCUUGUGUGAAAAACUCCGGUGGUACAGGAUGGGCCCGCGUCUGAUUAGCUGGUUGGCAGGGUAACGGCCUACCAAGGCAACGAUCAGUAGCCGGUCUGAGAGGAUGAACGGCCACUUUGGAACUGAGACACGGUCCAAACUCCUACGGGAGGCAGCAGUGGGGAAUAUUGCACAAUGGGGGAAACCCUGAUGCAGCAACGCCGCGUGAGUGAAGAAGUAUUUCGGUAUGUAAAGCUCUAUCAGGAGGGAAGAUAAUGACGGUACCUGACGAAGAAGCUCCGGCUAAAUACGUG
rnacentral:rRNA from 1 species